AUUGAACGCUGGCGGCAUGCCUUACACAUGCAAGUCGAACGGCAGCGCGGGAGCAAUCCUGGCGGCGAGUGGCGAACGGGUGAGUAAUAUAUCGGAACGUGCCCAGUAGCGGGGGAUAACGCAGCGAAAGCUGUGCUAAUACCGCAUACGCACUACGGUGGAAAGAGGGGGAUCGCAAGACCUCUCACUAUUGGAGCGGCCGAUAUCAGAUUAGCUUGUUGGCGGGGUAAAAGCCCACCAAGGCGACGAUCUGUAGUUGGUUUGAGAGAACGACCAGCCACACUGGGACUGAGACACGGCCCAGACGCCUACGGGAGGCAGCAGUGGGGAAGUUUGGACAAUGGGCGCAAGCCUGAUCCAGCCAUGCCGCGUGAGUGAAGAAGGCCUUCGGGUUGUAAACCGCUUUUGUUCGGGAAGAAAUUGACUGGGCUAAUACCUCGGUCGGAUGACGGUACCGGAAGAAUAAGCACCGGCUAACUACGUGCCAGCCGCCGCAGUAA
rnacentral:rRNA from 1 species